AUUUAUGAAACAAUUCACAUGUCAAGCUUCAUAGAUUUUUCUGUUCAACUAAUUGCUUUUAAUUUUGAGUUUAAUGUUGAAUGGAAUCAUACUUAGUUUUACAUUCGCAUGUGGAGCACAGGAGAACCAGACACAAAAAUUGUACCAAUAAAAACUGACCCUAUUACAUUUCUUAUAACUGGUAUAGUACAGCUUCAAAUCAUGAAAAUGAGUAUACAUUGAUAAAUAAAGAUAUGAAACCAUGAUUGAAGGCAGAGCUCAAGAUAUAACGAGAAAGUGAGUGUAAAAGAUUCUAAUAUGGAAAUUGCAACUAAGAUGAUUCAAGAAUUUAGAUAAUUUAGGUGAAAAAUCAUGGAAUUAUAAACAUUGGUAUUAAGGCAUUAGAAGAAAUAAAAUUCUAGCAACAUCUUAGCUACAAUAUUGUACUAAUUCACUGUAACGUUUUAACUGAUGGGUUGAGGUGAUAGGGAUAUAUGCAUCAAAGAGACAAACAAAUCAUAAUCAUAAACUGUAGGCUGAGGGUGAGGGGAUAUAUGUACCUUAGCUCUUAAUAAUCAUGUAUUGUCGAUGCAAAGAAUAAAUAUAGAAAAAUAAAGAGCAUGGAUGAUUCUUUGUUUGCUUUGUUAUAAAU
rnacentral:misc_RNA from 1 species